UACGUAGGGGGCAAGCGUUGUCCGGAUUUAUUGGGCGUAAAGAGCGUGUAGGCGGCCAGACAGGUCCGUUGUGAAAACUCGAGGCUCAACCUCGAGACGUCGAUGGAAACCGUCUGGCUAGAGUCCGGAAGAGGAGAGUGGAAUUCCUGGUGUAGCGGUGAAAUGCGCAGAUAUCAGGAAGAACACCUAUGGCGAAGGCAGCUCUCUGGGACGGUACUGACGCUGAGACGCGAAAGCGUGGGUAGCAAACAGG
rnacentral:rRNA from 1 species